rnacentral:rRNA from 1 species
GAUGAACGCUGGCGGCGUGCCUAAUACAUGCCAGUCGAGCGAACAGAUGAGGAGCUUGCUCCUCUGACGUUAGCGGCGGACGGGUGAGUAACACGUGGAUAACCUACCUAUAAGACUGGGAUAACUUCGGGAAACCGGAGCUAAUACCGGAUAAUAUAUUGAACCGCAUGGUUCAAUAGUGAAAGACGGUUUUGCUGUCACUUAUAGAUGGAUCCGCGCCGCAUUAGCUAGUUGGUAAGGUAACGGCUUACCAAGGCAACGAUGCGUAGCCGACCUGAGAGGGUGAACGGCCACACUGGAACUGAGACACGGUACAGACUCCGACGGGAGGCAGCAGUACGGAAUCUUCCGCAAUGGGCGAAAGCCUGACGGAGCAACGCCGCGUGAGUGAUGAAGGUCUUCGGAUCGUAAAACUCUGUUAGUAGGGAAGAACAAAUGUGUAAGUAACUAUGCACGUCUUGACGGUACCUAAUCAGAAAGCCACGGCUAACUACGUG